UACGGGGGGGGCAAGCGUUGUUCGGAAUUACUGGGCGUAAAGGGUUCGUAGGUGGCCAACUAAGUCAGACGUGAAAUCCCUCAGCUUAACUGGGGAACUGCGUCUGAUACUGAUUGGCUUGAGUGCAGGAGAGGAAUGCGGAAUUCCAGGUGUAGCGGUGAAAUGCGUAGAUAUCUGGAGGAACACCGGUGGCGAAGGCGGCAUUCUGGACUGCAACUGACACUGAAGAACGAAAGCCAGGGGAGCAAACGGG
rnacentral:rRNA from 1 species